UACGAAGGGGGCUAGCGUUGUUCGGAAUUACUGGGCGUAAAGCGCAUGUAGGCGGCGAUUCAAGUCGGGGGUGAAAUCCUGAGGCUCAACCUCAGAACUGCCUUCGAUACUGUAUUGCUGGAGUAUGGAAGAGGUAGGUGGAACUGCGAGUGUAGAGGUGAAAUUCGUAGAUAUUCGCAAGAACACCAGUGGCGAAGGCGGCCUACUGGUCCAUCACUGACGCUGAGAUGCGAAAGCGUGGGGAGCAAACAGG
rnacentral:rRNA from 1 species